UACGAAGGGUGCAAACGUUGCUCGGAAUUAUUGGGCGUAAAGCGCACGUAGGCGGCUUAGCAUGUCGGAAGUGAAAUCCCACGGCUCAACCAUGGAAGUGCUUUCGAAACUGCUAAGCUUGAGUACGAAAGAGGAUCGCGGAAUUCCCGGUGUAGAGGUGAAAUUCGUAGAUAUCGGGAGGAACACCAGUGGCGAAGGCGGCGAUCUGGGUCGAUACUGACGCUGAGGUGCGAAAGCGUGGGGAGCAAAC
rnacentral:rRNA from 1 species